rnacentral:rRNA from 1 species
UGGGGAAUAUUGCACAAUGGGGGAAACCCUGAUGCAGCGACGCCGCGUGAGCGAUGAAGUAUUUCGGUAUGUAAAGCUCUAUCAGCAGGGAAGAAAAUGACGGUACCUGACUAAGAAGCCCCGGCUAACUACGUGCCAGCAGCCGCGGUAAUACGUAGGGGGCAAGCGUUAUCCGGAUUUACUGGGUGUAAAGGGAGCGUAGACGGCGGUGCAAGCCAGAUGUGAAAGCCCGGGGCUCAACCCCGGGACUGCAUUUGGAACUGUGCUGCUAGAGUGUCGGAGAGGCAGGCGGAAUUCCUAGUG